rnacentral:lncRNA from 1 species
UAUAAAAAACAAAAAAGAAAAAAAAAUAUAAAGACCAAAAAUUAUAGAAGAAGAAAGAUGAAGAUGAAAUUGCAGUGUUAAAAUAAAAUUGCACUGUUUUAAAAGAACGUUGCACUAUUAUGGACGUAAGUUGCACUAUUUGAGAUGUAAACUGCAUCCUUUAAGAUGAAAGUUAUACUUUUUAAAUAAAAAUUGCACUCUUUGAGAGAUAUUUACACUGUUUUUUCUCUUAUUGCACUCUUUGAGAUUUAAAUUGCAUUCUUUAAGAUGAAAGUUACACGCUUUAAACGAAAGUUGUACUCAUUGAGAGAUAUUUAUACUGUUUCUUCUCUUAUUGUACUGUUUGACAGAUAUUUACAGGUUUAAGUGCGUGGUAAUUAGUGGAAUAACAUAAUCUAAGCAGUUGAAUUGGUCAAAAUGAUAGAUCUAAUGAUGAUAAUU